rnacentral:rRNA from 1 species
AGUGAACGCUGGCGGUAGGCCUAACACAUGCAAGUCGAACGGCAGCACAGUAAGAGCUUGCUCUUACGGGUGGCGAGUGGCGGACGGGUGAGGAAUACAUCGGAAUCUACUUUUUCGUGGGGGAUAACGUAGGGAAACUUACGCUAAUACCGCAUACGACCUACGGGUGAAAGCAGGGGAUCUUCGGACCUUGCGCGAUUGAAUGAGCCGAUGUCGGAUUAGCUAGUUGGCGGGGUAAAGGCCCACCAAGUCGACGAUCCGUAGCUGGUCUGAGAGGAUGAUCAGCCACACUGGAACUGAGCCACGGUCCAGACUACUACGGGAGGCAGCAGUGGGGAAUAUUGGACAAUGGGCGCAAGCAUGAUCCAGCCAUACCGCGUGGGUGAAGAAGGCCUUCGGGUUGUAAAGACCUUUUGUUGGGAAAGAACAGCAGCAGGUUAAUACCACGCUGUCCUGACGGUACCCAAAGAAUAAGCACCGGCUAACUUCGUG